rnacentral:rRNA from 1 species
GACCCCAGGUCAGGCGGGGCCACCCGCUGAGUUUAAGCAUAUCAAUAAGGCGGGAGGAAUGAUAGGCCAACCGGGGAGGG